rnacentral:rRNA from 1 species
GAUGAACGCUGGCGGCGUGCCUAAUACAUGCAAGUCGAGCGAACGGACGAGAAGCUUGCUUUUCUGAUGUUAGCGGCGGACGGGUGAGUAACACGUGGAUAACCUACCUAUAAGACUGGGAUAACUUCGGGAAACCGGAGCUAAUACCGGAUAAUAUUUUGAACCGCAUGGUUCAUAAGUGAAAGACGGUCUUGCUGUCACUUAUAGAUGGAUCCGCGCUGCAUUAGCUAGUUGGUAAGGUAACGGCUUACCAAGGCAACGAUGCAUAGCCGACCUGAGAGGGUGAUCGGCCACACUGGAACUGAGACACGGUCCAGACUCCUACGGGAGGCAGCAGUAGGGAAUCUUCCGCAAUGGGCGAAAGCCUGACGGAGCAACGCCGCGUGAGUGAUGAAGGUCUUCGGAUCGUAAAACUCUGUUAUUAGGGAAGAACAUAUGUGUAAGUAACUGUGCACAUCUUGACGGUACCUAAUCAGAAAGCCACGGCUAUCUACGUG